rnacentral:lncRNA from 1 species
UAUCUUUAGGCAGCAAUAAAUUUCUACAAGUAACUCAAAAGAUAAUGAUCCUCUUGACUUGAUGAGGGCUUUCUAGAUCCAGGGCAAUACCUGACCACCAUUCUAAUGGUAUGUUAGCUUAUUAAGGGCCUCCAAGAUCAACUUGGCCUGAAAUUUUCUAAGCUCAGCCCUCUCUCAUAAGCUCAGAAUGCUCCAAUUCAGCAACAUGCAGCUUGUUCCAUUUCUUCUCCAGCUCAGCUCGCUUUGAUGCAGCAAUCAACUCCAGGCCCUCCUUGGUCAUAAAAGUCUUGGACAAGCCCUGCUCUUUGAAAUCCCAGCUAUCUGAUCCACGCGGCUAGCUCCUUUGAAAUCUCAGGGGACGCCGGCAGCUGAGCCUUCUUGGAAUCUUGACCACCUCCCCACAACUUCUUGGACAACUCAAAAGCCUUCAAGUCUUGAGGCUUAGGUCGGGUCUUCUUUGUGGGAGUCGCAUGCGAAAUGUUAUUAAUUUUGUCGAAAUAUAUAUAUGA